rnacentral:rRNA from 1 species
UGGGGAAUAUUGGACAAUGGGCGAAAGCCUGGUCCAGCCAUGCCGCGUGAGUGAUGAAGGCCUUAGGGUUGUAAAGCUCUUUCACCCACGACGAUGAUGACGGUAGUGGGAGAAGAAGCCCCGGCUAACUUCGUGCCAGCAGCCGCGGUAAUACGAAGGGGGCUAGCGUUGUUCGGAAUUACUGGGCGUAAAGCGCACGCAGGCGGUGGUCAUAGUCAGAAGUGAAAGCCCUGGGCUCAACCCGGGAAUUGCUUUUGAUACUGGACCGCUAGAAUCACGGAGAGGGUAGUGGAAUUCCGAGUGUAGAGGUGAAAUUCGUAGAUAUUCGGAAGAACACCAGUGGCGAAGGCGACUACCUGGCCGUCGAUUGACGCUCAUGUGCGAAAGCGUGGGGAGCAAACA